rnacentral:rRNA from 1 species
AGUGAACGCUGGCGGCGUGCUUAACUCAUGCAAGCCGAGCGAGAUUCUACAGUACACCGUAGAGUCUAGCGGCAGACGGGUGAGUAAUACGUAGGGAACCUUCCCUGAAAUGGAGAAUACCCUCGAGAAAUCGAGGCUAAUGCUGCAUAAGACCACGCUCCGGCAUCGGAGAGAGGUCAAAGGCCCGCAAGGGUCGUUUCGGGAUGGUCCUGCGUCCUAUCAGCUUGUUGGUGAGGUAACGGCUCACCAAGGCUACGACGGGUAGCCGGCCUGAAAGGGCGAUCGGCCACACUGGAACUGAGACACGGUCCAGACUCCUACGGGAGGCAGCAGUGGGGAAUUUUGGACAAUGGGCGAAAGCCUGAUCCAGCAACGCCGCGUGAAGGAUGACGGUCUUCGGAUUGUAAACUUCUUUAAGAGGGAACGAAAAAAAUGACGGUACUCUCAGAAUAAGCCACGGCUAACUACGUGCCAGCAGCCGCCGUAA